GUACUUUGGGCCUGAUCCAAGUCCCAUUGAAAUCAAUGGGAGUCUUUCAAUUUAUUUCAGUGGGCUUUGGAUCAGGACUUACAAC
rnacentral:pre_miRNA from 1 species